rnacentral:piRNA from 1 species
CAACACAGUGUCUAUCAGCUCCGAGCCAC